rnacentral:misc_RNA from 1 species
UCACCCCUCAAGCCCCGGCUUGGUGUUGGGCACGCCUGGAGCUUUUGUCCUCCCGGCGACCCUAAAGAUAAUGACGGCGUCCCAGAGGACCCCAGUACAUUGAGCUUUCGGGCACGUACUCGGUUUUGGACCCUGGAGCGACCGGUCUCUUUUUUAAAUUUCUGAA